ncrna:unclassified sequences DTF3800-X RNA
UAACGAGUAAGUCCUGCUGAAAGGAUGACGGCUCAGGAUUGAGCUCAGGACCAGUAAGCAGGGUUCGUUU